rnacentral:rRNA from 1 species
GAUGAACGCUGGCGGCGUGCCUAAUACAUGCAAGUCGAGCGAACAGACGAGGAGCUUGCUCCUCUGACGUUAGCGGCGGACGGGUGAGUAACACGUGGAUAACCUACCUAUAAGACUGGGAUAACUUCGGGAAACCGGAGCUAGUACCGGAUAACAUGUUGAACCGCAUGGUUCAACAGUGAAAGACGGUCUUGCUGUCGCUUAUAGAUGGAUCCGCGCCGCAUUAGCUAGUUGGUAAGGUAACGGCUUACCAAGGCAACGAUGCGUAGCCGACCUGAGAGGGUGAUCGGCCACACUGGAACUGAGACACGGUCCAGACUCCUACGGGAGGCAGCAGUAGGGAAUCUUCCGCAAUGGGCGAAAGCCUGACGGAGCAACGCCGCGUGAGUGAAGAAGGUCUUCGGAUCGUAAAACUCUGUUAUUAGGGAAGAACAAAUGUGUAAGUAACUAUGCACGUCUUGACGGUACCUAAUCAGAAAGCCACGGCUAACUACGUG